CUGCCCCUUCCAGCUGCCUGAAACGACAGAUGUUGACCAGGCUGGUUUCAGGGCUGUGGCGAGGGCACCCAGCGAGAUGUUCAACCCUUUGGAGGCCCAGAGAAUCUUCUCUGGGCCUCCAAGGCCUCCCUGGUCAGAGCAGAAGUGGGAUCAUCGUCUCUCAGACGCACUAGGAGCCUUGAAGCACAAGUCAAACUCCAGGGCCUGAUUUCAAAGCAGGCAUCAAACCCUUUAGCCUCCUUUUUGGCUGCCAAGUAGAAACUUCUGACUCUCUAAGACAAGCCCAAAAGGCAGUGGAGGCCCCGUUGCUAAGAAAAAUGACAGCCCGAGCUGAAGACUCUAACUGGCUUGAAGGGGAGGCAGAGAUGGGGGCAUGGGCUCCGGCAAGGAGAAGCUGCCCCAGCUCCUGGAAUGUCUUGGUUCCUGAUUCUCAGCCUCCCUGGGGUUUGAGUAUUUCCUGGUCAUCAGAUCUCAGGGAGGUCUAAUAAGGAAAGAAGGAAGCAGAGAGUCACAGAGACAGACCUGAAGAGGCUUCGCCACUGGCUUUAAAGAUGCAGGGAGGGGCCACACGCCCAUGAAUGCAGGCGGCCUCUAGAGGCUGGAGAAGUGAGUGAAUGGACUCUUCCCCUAGAGCCUCGGGAAGGAACCAGGCCUGCUGACACCCUGACUUUGACCUCCAGAACUAUAAUAAAUCUAUGU